AUUGAACGCUGGCGGCAGGCUUAACACAUGCAAGUCGAGCGAGCGGCGGACGGGUGAGUAAUGUCUGGGAAACUGCCUGAUGGAGGGGGAUAACUACUGGAAACGGUAGCUAAUACCGCAUACCAUCAGAUGUGCCCAGAUGGGAUUAGCUAGUAGGUGGGGUAAUGGCUCACCUAGGCGACGAUCCCUAGCUGGUCUGAGAGGAUGACCAGCAACAUGGGAACUGAGGCACGGGCCAGACUCCUACGAGAGGCAGCAGUGGGGAAGAUUGCGCAAUGGGCGCAAGCCUGAUGAAGCCAUGCCGCGUGUAUGAAGAAGGCCUUCGGGUUGUAAAGUACUUUAAGCGGGGAGGCGUUACCCGCAGAAGAAGCACCGGCUAACUCCGUGCCAGCAGCCGCGGUAAUAC
rnacentral:rRNA from 1 species